UACGGAGGGUGCAAGCGUUGUCCGGAAUCACUGGGCGUAAAGGGCGCGUAGGCGGCUCAUGAAGGCUGUGGUGAAAGUCCGGGGCUCAACCUCGGAUCGGCCGUGGCGACUCGUGGGCUGGAGCACUGUAGAGGCGGGUGGAAUUCCGGGUGUAGCGGUGAAAUGCGCAGAUAUCAGGAGGAACACCGAUGGCGAAGGCGGCUCACUGGACCACAACUGACGCUGAGGCGCGAAAGCUAGGGGAGCAAACAGG
rnacentral:rRNA from 1 species